rnacentral:rRNA from 1 species
UACGUAGGGGCAAGCGUUGUCCGGAAUCAUUGGGCGUAAAGAGCGUGUAGGCGGCCCGGUCAGUCCGCCGUGAAAGUCCAGGGCUCAACCCUGGAAUGCCGGUGGAUACUGCCGGGCUGGAGUCCGGAAGAGGCGAGUGGAAUUCCUGGUGUAGCGGUGAAAUGCGCAGAUAUCAGGAGGAACACCGAUGGCGAAGGCAGCUCGCUGGGACGGUACUGACGCUGAGACGCGAAAGCGUGGGAGCAAACAGG